UUAUCAAAAAAGAUAAAUAUACACUUAUACCCAAAUGGUAAAUUAAUUUAGAUAUUAAGGUUUAGAGUUAAGGGGUGGACUUUAGGAUUUAGGGUUUAGGAUUUAGGUUUUAGGGUUUAGUGUUUAGGGUCUAGGGUUUAGGGGUGGGGUUUAGGGUUUAGUGUUUAGAGUUAAGGGGUGGGGUUUAGGAUUUAGGGUUUAGGGUUUAGGAUUUAGGGUUAGAGUUUAGGGUUUAUGGUUUAGGGUUUAGAAUUUAGGUUUUAGGGUUUAGAGUUGGGGAGCGGGGUUUUAGGAUAAGAUUUCAAAUUUUGAAAAAUAAAAAAAAAUUAAAUUUUUCAAAAGAUAAAAUGCUAUUUUGGUCAUUUUAGUUUUUGAGUACUAUUUUUGUGACAUAAAUUUAGAAAUGUGCUAUUUCGGAGAUUCGCCCUUAAUGUAUUCAGUAAAUUCUUAUUGUUGGAUUUCAAAUCUUUGUUUUUUGAAUUUCAGAAUAUUCUUCAAUGGCAUAAACUGUAACAUUAGUGUAAAAUCAAUGGCAUAAUCUUAUUAGGGAUUCUGCUUUAAUAUUAUAAAUACGUAUUCUGAUUUUUUUUUAAAAAAUGAAAGUCAUUAAAAAUAAUCUUAAAAAAAUAUUUCUUAUCAUGCUAAUGGAAAUAGCUUCAAACGUGCAGAUUUGGAAGAAAUUUAAUUUUCGACACCAUGGGCCUUAAACUUAAAGUAUAUGAUCAGUGUAAACGUUUUUUUUUGUAUACCAGGAUAAUACUUGCGUUUUACGCAGGGUAAAUUAUGCAGUUAAAAUAUAAAAGAUAUGGUAUUGACAAAAUUUAAGAUUUAUAUAUGAUCAAUUUUUUUUUAUAUAUGUAUACAGUUUUGGAUUGUUUAUAUAAUCAUCUAUACGUUGGACAUAGAACAAUUUUAAUUGGAAUUUUGGAUUAAAACUUC
rnacentral:lncRNA from 1 species